rnacentral:rRNA from 1 species
CACGUAGGCGCCAAGCGUUGUCCGGAUUUAUUGGGCGUAAAGAGCUCGUAGGCGGUUCAGUAAGUCGGGUGUGAAAACUUUGGGCUUAACCCAAAGCGUGCAUCUGAUACUGCUGUGACUUGAGUUCGGUAGGGGAGUGGGGAAUUCCUAGUGUAGCGGUGAAAUGCGCAGAUAUUAGGAGGAACACCGGUGGCGAAGGCGCCACUCUGGGCCGAAACUGACGCUGAGGAGCGAAAGCAUGGGUAGCAAACAGG